GGGGUGUUAGCUCAGCUGGGAGAGCAUCUGCCUUACAAGCAGAGGGUCACAGGUUCGAGCCCUGUACGCCCCA
rnacentral:tRNA from 1 species